GGUUGCGAACCUACUGCAGCUGCGAGGGACGGUGGCGUCUCCAGGCGAGCGCUUCACGUGUCGGUUACCCCCUGGAAGAAAAUGGGGAGGUCCUGGCCCAAGUGUGGCAGAGUAUUCAUUCCUCCUGGAUUUCUGAAGCAACCUCAUGCAGAAACAGAGGCAUGGAAAGGUUGAGACUUACCUAGGUCACAACUACUUAGUGACAAGCCAGCAAGUCCAGCAUUCCCCCCAAAAAGCUUUUUUUUUUUUUUUUUUUUGUGUGUGUGUGUGUGACCUUCGCCAGCGGCCGGGGAUCGAACCCCUCACAGCCCAGCGCUCAACCGCUGUGCCACCAGGGGAGGCCCCCAAACACCUCUUGAGCCUAGUCUUCCCUCUUCUUCCUAUAACACUUUGCCCCAGACCCCAUCAUCCAUAUGUAUAAUAUCGUUGUAGGCUCCAGCUGGUCUCCCAGGAUAUAUUUGUCUCCUUCUUUAAUCAUUUCUUCUCACUAUGUAAAGAUUUACCAUGGGAGCUUAAUGGUAGGUUUAGAAGAGGCUUACUUUAUAAUUGCUUAUGUUUUAUAUAUAAUUGCUUAUGUUUUAUGAUUUUUUGAUGUAUUUAAUAUAAAUGUUUUAAAUGAUUUAUUUAUAUCUCCAGUAGCAAGUGCCUUACACUGUACACAGUAUUUGCACUCAAAAAGUAUUUGUUGAACGAAGAAUGACUAAAUAGUAGGUCCAGGAGCUGACUCCAAAAUCCUGCAUGAUGAGGGAAUCAAGGGAUUUAUAAUAUGUCACCCAUGGCCUCCUGACCUUAAGGUCUACUAGAGAGAAUGGCUGGAGAAUGUGGCUAAGAACAUAAGGGUGUGGAGAACUGAAGACCCCAGCAAAAGUUAGAAUGCUCCCACGUCAGCUGGGAUCAGGGAUGAUGUGGAGGGAGUGCGAAAUUGAGACAUCAGACUCUGAAGAAAUUCUACUUCUAUCCUGAUGCGGUUUUACCAAUCAAGAAAAUUGGGGUUAGGGAUCCCAAAGCUAACUUCCUUAAAUGAGUCAAAAUGUUUUCCCAACUACCACUAUAAACAAGAAAUCUUUCUUUUAAAUACCAAAUCAAGUUCCUUAAGUGUUACAAUGAAUUCUAACUUGAUGACUUUUAUUCUUACUACUUACUAUUUGAACUUGAAACGGUGACCUAUAAAUUUGUUUAAAUAAUAAAAUACCU